rnacentral:rRNA from 1 species
AACGAACGCUGGCGGCAUGCCUAACACAUGCAAGUCGAACGAGACCUUCGGGUCUAGUGGCGCACGGGUGCGUAGCGCGUGGGAACCUGCCCUUAGGUUCGGAAUAACUCCCCGAAAGGGGUGCUAAUACCGGAUAAUGUCUUCGGACCAAAGAUUUAUCGCCGUUGGAUGGGCCCGCGUUGGAUUAGCUAGUUGGUAGGGUAAAAGCCUACCAAGGCGACGAUCCAUAGCUGGUCUGAGAGGAUGAUCAGCCACACUGGGACUGAGACACGGCCCAGACUCCUAGGGGAGGCAGCAGUGGGGAAUAUUGGACAAUGGGCGAAAGCCUGAUCCAGCAAGGCCGCGUGAGUGAUGAAGGCCUUAGGGUUGUAAAGCUCUUUUACCCGGGAUGAUAAUGACAGUACCGGGAGAAUAAGCUCCGGCUAACUCCGUG